rnacentral:sRNA from 1 species
GGCCCUGAGGCAGUGCCGUGCCCAGCAUGGCUUCACCAGCCUGUGUCCUUUCAUAGCCUGCCCUCCUAUACCUGGUCCCCGCCUGCAUCGGUUUUCCUGUCCUGGUGGCGCUGGCCAAGGGAGAAGUGACAGAGAUGUUCAGUUAAAAAUUCCAGAGCUGUAACAGAGAGCACCCUCAUGCUCCAGCUACCCCACAGAGGCCAGCAGUAUUACACAGACAUUCAGACACCUGUGCACUGACGUGUGUAUACUUUUUCUUGCACAGAUGGUGGCAUUCUUGGAGCAUUCUGCACCUUGGGUUUCUACGUUAUGAGGAGUCAAAUCCUAAGGAUCCAGCGGCAGUGACAGAAUCCAAAGAGGGAACAGAGGCAUCAGCAUCGAAGGGGCUGGAGAAGAAAGAGAAAUGAUGCGGCUGGUGCCCGAGCCUCUCAGGGCCAGACCAGACAGAAUGGGGGCUGGGCCCACACAGGCGUGCACGGGCAGAGGGCACAGGAGGCCGAGGGCAGCUCCAGGACAGGGCAGGGGCAGCAGGAUAACUCCAGCCAGGCCUCUGUGGCCUCUGUUUCCCUCUCCCUUUCUUGGCCCUCCUCUGCUCCUCCCCACACCCUGCAGGCAAAAGAAACCCCCAGCUUCCCCCCUCCCCGGGAGCCGGGUGGGAAAAGUGGCUGUGAUUUUUAGAUUUUGUAUUGUGGACUGAUUUUGCCUCACAUUAAAAACUCAUCCCAUGGCCAGGGUGGGCCACUGUGCUCCUGGAA